rnacentral:tRNA from 2 species
UUUUUCUAUUUUUAGAAUUAUAGAGUGGGGAUUGGACUGAACAAUUUAAAAAUGAGAAUGAUGAAUCUAAAGAU